CAUUUCACUUCCAAUGGCCACUUAACUACUAGUGAAAGGUUUAGUUCAGGAUAAAGUAGGACAAUGAGUAAAUUAAGGCCUAUGAGUUUCAUGUGGCCUGCCUGGCUUCCCAUUUGGACCUGAGAUCAAAUCUCAAACCUUCUUUUCACUGUAUACAAAGCAGAUUAACCAGAAUGGGGAAAAGAGGAAAGAGAGGGUUGAAGGAGAGCUUUCCAAGCAAAUACCUCAGCUGUUAAGAGACACCCUUUUCAAUUCUGGUCCAGUAGGGGCUCCAGUUUGGUAGGGACUGGCAGAGAGAGGUUUGCACCUUAGGAGAGGCAGCACUACACAUCUGGCUGUGGUUUCAGACUCCAGUGGUAGGCUAGAUCCUUAGAUCUAGCCUGAGCUAAGUAAGUACAGUAUGGCUUGAGUCUGUCAAGAAGCUAAGAGAAAAUCCGACCACCACAGCACAGAAAGACCUAGGGUGGGGACCAUAGUGUGCAUACAAUACAUUCUCAGAAAAAGUUUCAUUCAGUGGAAUAAGUCAAAUCAAACUGUAGUUCUCUGCUAACUUGUGAUAGACGUAUAUUUCUCUGAAUCUGAGUUUACUCCAUUCAUAGAAUGAGA
rnacentral:lncRNA from 1 species